ACAGGCCGCGCCGGCCCCGCCUCCCACGCCACGGCCACUGGCGCCCGCAGGGGCCUCCCGCCGGUUCCCGCAGGGAUGCCAGGCAGGCCCGCACUCGCCCGCGGCCGCUACCUUGUUAGUGGGCACCGAGCGGAGGCGCUUGAAGAUGGUCAAGAUGUCCUGCUUGCUGGGGUCCCCCAUCGUCAGCUGUGAGCCGCGGCGCAGCUGGCCCAGCCAACCGAGACAGAGUGUCCCUGUGUUACCCAAGCUGGAUUAGAACUCCUGGGCUCAAGUGAUCCUCCCACCUCGGCCUCCCAAAGUGCUGGCAUUACAGGCUGGAGUGCAACGGCGCAAUCCUGACUUACUGCAACCUCCGCCUCCCGGGUUCACGCGAUUCUCCUGCCUCAGCCUCCCAACUAGCUGUGAUUACAGGUGCCCACCACCAUGCCCGGCUAAUUUUUUGUAUUUUUAGUAGAAACGGGGUUUUACCAUGUUGGCCAGGCUGGUCUCGAACUCCUGAUCUCAGGUGAUCCACCCACCUCAGCCUCCCAAACUGCUGGGAUUACAGGCAUGAGCCACUGUGCCCGCCAGUCAUCCCUACUUUUCAGCAAAUGAAGCUCAGGCAUUUUCCGUUUGUCUGUGGUCCAGCCUCCUGCCCAGGUGGGGACUCAGGGACACUUCCUACAGGAAGUUGGGGAACGGCUCAAGGAUUGAGCAGUGCUCUGAUCUCUGAGGCCUUAGAGCCUGGGUUGGGAGGCCUGAGACUUCUAAAACCCAGCACACACAUUCUCAGAAGACAACUCCGGCCCUUUGUCUCUGGCUGUCCCAUCAUGGUGUCAGAAUAACACAGGUCCUUCUCUGAGCCUACCAGAGUUUCCCAAGGGCAAGAUUGGCUUCUCUUCAUGUUUGUCCUGGCACUGCUGAGUCUCACACACAGUAUGUGCUCAAUAGAUGCAUGGUGAAUGAAUGACUGCCCAAUGCAUACAUAAGGAGAGCCAGCUGAUCCCCCACCAGGUUGGGCCACUCAGGGGUCAGGCCUUGCUCAGCUUCCCAAACGACGUGGUCUGUGCCCACGGGGAAGUCACUGCUUCCUCUCACUUGUCCUGUUUCCCCGUGAACUACGAGGGGGUUGGUCAGGUGGUCCACACAAGUCCUUCCCAACCUCCCCCAUCCCUAUCCCAAUGGCUUGUGAGCGGGUUCCCUCCAGGCCUAUCCAGUGCCUGAGGCCUUGGCACAGCCCAGGCUGCCCAGUCGGGCCUUCACUACAUGCUUCUGAGUGGACCAAGAUCUGGCAUCAGAGCCCAGAGCAGAGGCCAGCCCUGUUCUCCAUCUGCAGGGACCUCCGAAGGCCCAGUUUUAGCUCAGGCUGCAGCAAAGCCAGAUCCCUACUCCGGUCACUUGGCAGCACUUGCUCACCCUCCCGACAUUUCUGGGGUGUGGGAAGGAUGGAGAUGAUGAAAUACCCUGUCCUGAGCUCCAGGGAGCUUUGGCCCAGGAGAGGGCUCUGGGGCUAACACUCCCCCUAGUGUCAACUCAGGGGCCUUGGGGACCCGAAGAGGUGUGGACAGUUGGUGGCAGCACUGAUCCAGGGUGGUGGCUGUGGGAGGAGCGAAGGACAGCCAUGGACAGCAGAGAACCCUGGGCCCCUGCCUAUGGUGUCACUCAUAAUCGUGACAAUGACCAGCUCCUGAGGGCCUGUGACAUUUUUCUUUUUUUUUGUUUUGAGAUGGAGUCUUGCUCUGUCACCCAGGCUGGAGUGCAGUGGCGCGAUCUCAGUUCACUGCAAGCUCCACCUCCCGGGUUCAUGCCAUUCUCCUGCCUCAGCCUCCUGAGCAGCUGGGACUACAGGUGCCAGGCACCAUGCCCAGCUAAUUUUUUGUAUUUUUAGUAGAGACGGGGUUUCAUCGUGUUAGCCAGGAUUGUCUCGAUCUCCUGACCUCGUGAUCCACCCGCCUCGGCCUCCGAAAGUGCUGGGAUUACAGGUGUGAGCGACCGUGCCCGGCCUUUUUCUUUUUUUGAGACUGUCUCGAGAGCUCUGUCGUCCAGGCUGGAGUGCAGUGGUGCAAUCAUGGCUCACUGCAGCCUCAAAUUCCUGGGCUCAAGCAAUCCUCCUGCCUCAGUCUCCCAAGUAGUUGGGACUGGAUGCAUGCACCACCACACUCGACCAAUUUUUAAACUUUUUGUAGAGACAGGGUCUCACUAUGUUGCCCAGGCCACCUUUUCUUCUUGCUCUAACUCUCCAACUGGAAAAGUAUCACUUCUACUUGGGGAAACUGAGGCCUAGAGACAAGCUGAAGUUUUCAAGCUGGCCCCUGAGGGCAGGGCAGGAGAGGGGAGAUGGGCAGUUAGAGGCCCUGCCAGAUCCCUCACUGGGGGGCCGUGUGAUCCGGCCUCAGAGUGGAGGUUGCUUCAUCCAGCUCAGCGGGGACCGUGGUCUUGCCACGGUGUUUGGGCAGUGACUGAGGCCACCGGCACCAGGAGCCUGCUUCUGACCCCUCACCUUCCCUCCCAACCCCAUUCUGCCUGUCUCUCUGCAGCCUGGGGCUGUGGGCCGAGCCGGGUGUCCGCCCUGCACUGUAGGGCUCCAACUCCUCAGAAGUUGGGAGCAGGGGACCCGCCACCCCUCAGACAAGGAGGCUGGGGGACAAGGAUCUGUCCCAUACCCUUGCUGAGCUGGGACAAAGCCACACUGCAGGGGCAGCUGCCUGCCUUGCUCCUCCCAGGUGCUCUGUGAGGCCCCAUGCCCAGCUGGCGUGCUUUUCUGGGCAGCCUUCCCAGGGCUCGGUGAGCGUGGCCACAGCCGCCCUCACGUCUUGCUUCUCUCCUGUCUUCAAGCCAGUCCAAGCCUCCUCCCUCCUCAGUUUCUCUAGCGAGGGAGGGGGUGGUUCCUCAGGGAUUUCGCUCAGUGCUUUGGGCUGGCUGAGACUCCUCAAGAAACCCUGGCUGGCUCUUGGAGCCUCUGUUUCCUCCUUGGUAGAAUGGAAAUGGGGAGACUGGCCCAUACCCUGUGGAGAUGUUUGGAGACGCAGAUAAUGUAAGUAAAAAGUGGACAGCACACAGUAGGUGCUCAGGAAAAUGUGCUCAUAGGAGAGUUAUGGGUGAUGCCAGUCUUGUCCUGUUGUUUGGGCUGGGGCAAUAGAGAGGCGCCAGCCGAUGCCCGCACCAUGUGGAAGCCCAGGUCAAACAGCAGCAGGUCUCGGGGAGAAGGGAACCCCAAGGGGCUCAGAUGCCUCAAAUCCCCAACCUCCAGUUUGGCAGGGGCAGUGGGCCGUGGCCUUUUGGGCAGGGGUCCUGUGCCCUGGAUCUUGCCCAGCUCCAAAGCUAGUAAGCCCCAGGGAGGCCACCCCCGCCAAGUGAAGUGGGCGUGAAGACAGAUGAUGGCGAAGGGACUUCCAUAUGCAUGAGAUCAACUGUUUAUUGAUUUUUUUCCUCAAAUACUACACAUUUAAAGGAACUGUUAAACUGAAAAAGACUUGACAAUUUUUGGUAAAUCCGUAGCACAGAAAUGAGGAUUUCUGCUGGUAAGUUCUCAGGACAGACACAGACACAGGUCCACUUUCCAAGCAAGACAUCUGCUCACUGGGAACGGAGUGAAUGCAUAGCUGGUGACGGCGGCGGGCACUGCUGAGUCACAUGAAACACAGGUUCCCCCACGGUCCCCCCACCCCCGCCGGCCCGCGUGGCCCCCGCGUAACUCUGGCUGCAGCACCUGCUCCCGGGCGACUCUGGGCAGCCCGAGACACUCGUGCUGCGGGUAAGACCCAGCUUCUGUUUGUGCACAAGUAACACGACGACUGAAAUCUGCAACUACUGCAAAGACGCGGGCACUUUUACAGCGUUCUGCUACGGAGCCAGGACAAAGGCCGGUCAGAAGCUGGACCAGCAGUCAGCUGGUGACGACGAGCCUCCCUCCAGCAGGCACCACGUCAGAGAGGCCCCAGGCCCACUGAGCCCGGGAAGAGACCCAGCCGGCCAACCAGACGUGUGCCUGAAUGCCACAGACUUCAAGCAGUUUACAAACGAAACUCACUGUUAAAAGCUGUUAAAUCUCAUUAAAACAGUAGACGAGUGCUUUAGAUUCUCUGAAUAUCAAAUAAUAUAUACAGAUAGACACUGAGACAUGACAGUCUAAUCUAAAGCAUCUUUACAGAUGCAUUUGCUUGAAAAGUUAGUCUUCUUUUUAACUCUGAAUCAGUGAUAAAAUUGUUAAUUUGCAAAAGAGUACAGUUUUAAGCAAGAAUAGAGUGAAAAUAAUUUUUAAAUAUGGCGAUUUGGGGGAGUUCUACCUAAGGUUCUAUGUAAAGCUUCCAUUCAGAUGCCCAAAAGCACAAAGAGCAUUCCCAAUAGAAACCCGACCAUAACCCGGUCCCACCUUCCUGGCAUAAUUCCUUUCCUCAAACAUCUGCCACCUGAGGCUAAGCCUACACACGGCGUGGCUGAGUAACAGGGCAUGGGAAUAGGGAGAUCGUUUCCUCAAGACUGGUGCGCAUCAAUCUGUGCCAUAAUUUAAGUAGAAAUGAACAGGUGUAUAAAAAAGUAUAACUGUACACAGCCUUUAAAUUAAAAACCUCAAAAUCUUCACUCAAAAUGGGAUGUAAGCUUGUUCAUUUAAGUUGCAGGUGAUGGACUCGUCAGAGAGAGUAAUCAGUGGAACGAGAUCAGUGUAACCCACCAUUGACUCGGAAAGGAGAGACAAAGUCAAGAACAUAGAGAUCUAUGAUAGGCCAACAGGCACAGUGGGCGGGGAGGGGCGGCUAUUUCUGUUGUUCUGCGUCUUCCUGCACUCAGAUCCCUCCAGCUGCACUCGGAAAGGUGCCGAGUCCCAGGCGAAAUGACCAGCUCAUCUGCCUUCCAGGAACACCAUGAAGCCAAGAGCAAUGGAACCAUCAUCUCUUGCAGGAAAAGGAGUGGAUGCCCAUGUGGCUGGCUGAGGCUCCUGGGCCUGCCGCCUCCGUCCCCCCGCUGGCCUGUCCCCGGCUCAUCACUGGAUCGCCUCCACAUAAUUUGCCGGGUAUAGGCCAACUUGCCCGUUGUCCAAGCGUCCCUUGCACCAGCCCUGCUCAUCCUCGUCCUCCAUCUUGGUCAGCUCAUCCCCUGCAAGACAAAGAGGGAGCCGUCUCCAUGAGAGGAAUUAGAAGCAGUUUUCCCCCCGGUUUAGCAUUUCCCUGAUGCUUUGGAUUUUGUAUGGCAGCAAUGCUGGUCAAGAUGCCUGCGGAGAUAAUACCUGGGGCUUCCAGUGCUCCCCGGACUGCCUGGGCUCAAAUCCCAGAGCCACCACUCACUGGCUGGGAGACCUGGACCAACUGCGUCCACUCCCUGGGCCUGUGGCCCUCAUCUGUGGACUGGGGGUGCUGUGAAGAUUAAGUGUUAAGACACUAAAGAACCCUGAGAGGGCGGGACAUGCAUAAGCACUGGCUCAGCCUCCCACUGUCGUGCCGCUUCUGCCAGACCAGUGCGCCUGCAGAUCUAACCCAGAGGCAUCAGGAGCAGAUGCAGGGGCCACAGGGCAGCAGCCACGAUGAACCACCAUCUCUUUCCACCGCUUCGUGCCUCGGACCCCUGGCGUUUCUUUUGUCCUGCCUUCACUGGUUGCUGUGCUCUCACAGGCCUGGAUCCAGGCUACCGAGGCUAGGAUGAGGCCUGUAACCCCACACUACCAUGUGGCAAACAGCCAGAACACCGCAAGAGACGUAAGUCAAGCCACACUGGCUGGGAGCUAAUUUUGCAUUGUUAAAAAGCAGGAUAACACAGAAAAUAGAACGGACAGGAAAGCUUUCACAUUGUGCAAAUGUGAACUGGUGAUUAGAAGGUUCAUUUCAAUCAGUUUGCUUUUGACAAUUUACUUGGAUCUGGAAGAAACAUUUUAAAUCUACAAAAUUACUGUCAAACCCAAUAGGCAGGAUUGAAAAGGAGUUAGAAAUUAUAAACAAAUAAACCAACAAAGUCGGGGGUAACAACCCCAACCAAAGAUAUCAGAAA